AUUGAACGCUGGCGGCAGGCUUAACACAUGCAAGUCGAGCGAGCGGCGGACGGGUGAGUAAUGUCUGGGAAACUGCCUGAUGGAGGGGGAUAACUACUGGAAACGGUAGCUAAUACCGCAUACCAUCAGAUGUGCCCAGAUGGGAUUAGCUAGUAGGUGGGGUAAUGGCUCACCAAGGCGACGAUCCCUAGCUGGUUUGAGAGGAGGACCAGCCACACUGUGACUGAGACACGGUCCAGACUCCUACGGGAGGCAGCAGUGGGGAAUAUUGCACAAUGGGCGCAAGCCUGAUGCAGCCAUUCCGCGUGUGUGAAGAAGGCCUUCGGGUUGUAAAGCACUUUCAGCGAGGAGGCGUUACUCGCAGAAGAAGCACCGGCUAACUCCGUGCCAGCAGCCGCGGUAAUUC
rnacentral:rRNA from 1 species